rnacentral:sRNA from 1 species
CCGGGCCUAAGUUCCCUG